AGCGGGCCCUUUCGGGGGUCAGCGGCGGACGGGUGAGUAACGCGUGGGAACGUGCCUUCUGGUUCGGAAUAACUCAGGGAAACUUGAGCUAAUACCGGAUACGCCCUUUUGGGGAAAGGUUUACUGCCGGAAGAUCGGCCCGCGUCUGAUUAGCUAGUUGGUGGGGUAACGGCCUACCAAGGCGACGAUCAGUAGCUGGUCUGAGAGGAUGAUCAGCCACACUGGGACUGAGACACGGCCCAGACUCCUACGGGAGGCAGCAGUGGGGAAUAUUGGACAAUGGGCGCAAGCCUGAUCCAGCCAUGCCGCGUGAGUGAUGAAGG
rnacentral:rRNA from 1 species